CGCCCCUCUGAUCCGCUUCUUCAAUGGGUUUUGAGAAGGAGGUGAGGAGAGAGGACGCAAGGAGUAAACAAUUCUCCCCUUAACUUCUUCCUUCCUCCAUCCUUGAUUGAUUUGUUCUCUCAACAAAGACAAAGCUGAACGUGAUCAAUCAAUGAGCCAGUGAUUGAAUGGCAAUUGCAGGUUCAGGCAAUAAAUAUACUCCCAGCUAGUAUGGCAACUGAGCAAGGCAGUAAAUCACAGUGGGUUUAAGUGUUCCAUUUGGAAACUAUAGUGGUGGCUUGUCUGUUGGUACUUAGAUAUGGCUUUUGGAAUUAAUUUGUGGAUCGUGUUGCUUUGCUCCAUAUUCUCAGAACAUUUAAGAUCUACUUGUGCUCCACAUGGUAAGGCAUAAACAAUACAUUGUGUUUUGUUGAAGACCAGCCUUAAAAUUGCGGCGACUCAUAAUUCCCUUAAUCUGUUUAGAUGCCCAGAGAUUAAGAGGCUACAUGUAUUCUGGCUCUUCCCAAGUGGAAGAUGAACAGAAACAACCAGGUGACGGCUAUCCUCAGGAUCCAAUCAAACCAACUUUUAGUACUUCAGGAUCUGUCCAGAGUGAUGCUACUCCCAGAGAGACUGGCCCCAACACCCAUAACCAGGAACUAUCCCGCAGAGGCUCUGCUUCAAGCUCUAUCCAGCCUGCCCCAAGAAUGUUAGGCCUCUCUGGAUCUAUAGCCAGUAGAACCUCUGUCAGCCACAACAAGCGUCACACCCGUGCCAGUAUAACCUCAGGCCAAAGUGUCACCAACCCUAGUGCAGUGAAGAUGGUUUCAAAUUGGGAAGCAAAGGGAAUCCAGCCCAAAACCUUUCCAUUACAGCCUCAUUCAAGCAACUCUGGAUCUGUUCAGAAUUUCCUGGGAAGCCAUUUAUUCAAAGCAAACCCCCAGAAUUCUGUGGCACAAAGUGGAAUCUACCAGUCCGUAAGGGAAAUGGCUUCCACCCCUUACCUUCAAGCUCCCUCACGUGGUUCUUCAGGAACUUCACUUAGACCAGGUCCUCUGCAUUUUGGGUCUACUGAAGGUGGGAGUGCAACAAAUGCAUACAAGCCCAGCUUCUCUCAAUAUGUCAAGCCAUACCAGAGUAGAUAUGCCUCCGCCAGUAGUGGUUCAACUUCUAGUCAAUAUGCCCAGAGUAUAGAUGUUGCCUCCAAAAGCAGCAGUAUCCCUAUACUUAGCCUGGGGUCUAGCUCCAGUCUCUUUGCCCCGAGUUCUACGCCUAGUAAAAACUCCUAUGGAACCUACAAGCCUGGCUCUACCCUUGGUGCAACACCACGCCAGAGCAUGUUUACCGCUAACCAGGGUGGCAGUGCUUCAAUCUACAGCCAGAAUGCCCUUGCCGCCAACCAGAAGCCAGGUAGCACUACACCUGCCGACAGCAACCACAGGCAAGUCUCUGGUCAGGUGGGGGACUACCAGCCUAGUUAUGUUGCCAGUAGUGGGCCAAUCUCCAUCCUUUCCAGUUCUAACCAGGGUGGCAGUGCUUCAAUCUACAGCCAGAAUGUCCUUGCCGCCAACCAGAAGCCAAGCAGCACUACACCUGCCGACAGCAACCACAGACAAGUCUCUGGUCAGGUGGGGGACUACCAGCCUAGUUAUGUUGCCAGUAGUGGGCCAAUCUCCAUCCUUUCCAGUUCUAACCAGGGUGGCAGUGCUUCAAUCUACAGCCAGAAUGUCCUUGCCGCCAACCAGAAGCCAAGCAGCACUACACCUGCCGACAGCAACCACAGACAAGUCUCUGGUCAGGUGGGGGACUACCAGCCUAGUUAUGUUGCCAGUAGUGGGCCAAUCUCCAUCCUUUCCAGUUCUAACCAGGGUGGCAGUGCUUCAAUCUACAGCCAGAAUGUCCUUGCCGCCAACCAGAAGCCAAGCAGCACUACACCUGCCGACAGCAACCACAGUUCUAACCAGGGUGGCAGUGCUUCAAUCUACAGCCAGAAUGUCCUUGCCGCCAACCAGAAGCCAAGCAGCACUACACCUGCCGACAGCAACCACAGGCAAGUCUCUGGUCAGGUGGGGGACUACCAGCCUAGUUAUGUUGCCAGUAGUGGGCCAAUCUCCAUCCUUUCCAGUUCUAACCAGGGUGGCAGUGCUUCAACCGAUGUCCAGGAACCAAGCAACUCUAAACCUGCCCCCAGGCAAAGCUAUCAGCGCAGCUAUACUCCCAAUGCUGUGAAGUCUAUCCCUAGCUAUGCCAGAGGACCUACCCAGAGCAGUACCACCACACCUCAAAGCGUUGUUUUGGUCUACAACAUCCCAGCACGCUACGGUGGCACUCAUAUCCGUCGGCUCAAAGACCGUAUUCAUAGUGGGCGUAGUGCCUCCACUAGCCACUCCAAAACCAGCUCAAGUGUUAACAAGCCACAGCAAAACCACACUCUACCUGCCAAACAGGAGGGUCCCAGCACUCCCUACGUCCAAGUCUCACACUCUACUAGAUGGGAGCCCAGAACAUGACUAAGUGAGAGCUGUAACCACCAGUUGAG
rnacentral:lncRNA from 1 species